rnacentral:lncRNA from 1 species
AUGUCAUUUGGGACUUUGUCCACGGAGCUUGUAUUUACAAGCUCGGAGCAACCACGGAGCCGCAGCCGCCGGGGGAAGCGGAGUCUCCGCAAACUUGCUCUGAAUUCGCUGCAGGAACUUUGUGGCUGCUUUGCUUGGGCUGUUCUGGAAAACUGCGCUUGUUCUCUGAGCCCGGCCUUUUCAUGCUUCACAAAUAAACAGAGGAUAAACUCGAGAGGAAAUGUGGAGCUGGGGAGAGUGGUUGCAGUUCCUGUGUUUGUCUCCAGGACUGUGAUAUGUGUUGACUGCAGAGCUGACUACAAUGACCCAGGCAACAGAAGGGGGACUCUCAUAAACCACAAAGGAAAAUAAAUAACCUCACCCAUGGAGGGAAAGAGACAGCUUGAGAAAAGGGACUUUGGAAAAAGGCUCUCUCUAGAUAGCAGUCUCAUGGUAAGUACUGGAUAUUCAUUUACCGCUAUGUGUUUUGGCUUAAAAUGCAUUAUUCUUUGAUGCUGAUUUCCUAAACCCUGUGCUUUUGAAACCCCUAUUCCAGUUACCCCCUUAGCAAUAUCCCCUGAGAUUUUGUUUUGCUCAUGUUUUAUAAGGUCAAAAGCUAGAACAUUAUGGGAAUGUUUGUAUAGUGUCCUAAUAAGUAAAUGUCAUAAUCUCUCAGCAUUAUGUAUGAUUACAUUAAUUCCAACUGAAGUAAGCUUAAACCCACACAAAAACACUACUGCAUGGCUGAUGCCAAAUGCCAGGCCGAUACACAGUUGUUCUAGCACCCAUUUAUCUUAAGGCUGGGGGUCCGUUGAACAAGACUUCGGCAGAAUUUCAGAUAUUGAAGAAUGAAGAAAAUCUCUGCCAUCUUAGGUAUGUAAAUCCAUCCUGUGGUCCAUAAACUUUCUUUCUGAGUUGAAUGCUGAUGGGCGUCAUUCUUAACAACUUGGUUGGGUUUGCUUUCCUGUAUGAGAACCUGGCGAGUCCAAGGAAAUAGAUGAAGUCACUGAUUUUUUUUUCUUUCUUUAUAUAUGUAUAUAUUUUUAGGGUUGCACCUGUGGCAUGUCGAAGUUUCUAGGCUAGGAGUCAAAUCAGAGCUACAGCUGCCAGCCUACACCACAGCCACAGCAACACCAGAUCUGAGUCGCAUCUGCGACCUACACCACAGCUCAUGGCAACACCAGAUCCUUAACCCACUGAGUGAGGCCAGGAUUGAAUCCACAUCCUCAUGGAUACUAGUCAGGUUUGUCACUGCUGAGCCACAACAGGAACUCCUUGAAGUCCCUGAUUUCUGAAGGUGGGCCCUUCCUUCCAGUCCAAGCUAAGAUACUGGAUAUUGACAUCACCUAUUCAAUGAUGCCUCUGAACAAAGUAAGAAAUCAAAUGAAGUGAGUCACUCCUUUCUCUCUUGGUCACCUACUCAAGAAGAAAUGGAUGUUGGAUGUUGUUUAUGGAUGCACUUUUUUCAUUUGUGUACUUGUAGCCCCUGGCCCAGAGUUGUGAUUACAGUAGUUGUCCAAUAAAAUAUUUGCUGAAUUGAUUUAUCAGUUGCCCUUUUCCAAUUCUGCUGCUGUAGGUCUGGCUCUGUCAGGGUCUAAAUGAGCUAUUUACUCCAUGACUGCUGAGGUUUCCCAUCUCAAGCUCUUCACAGAUGGGAGUUUCUGGUAACUGAAAAAAGAAUUGCAUUAAAAUGCUGUGUCCAGGUCUUCUCUUGUUAUUAGAGUCAACUUCUGUGUCUCUGUAGAGUGUGGUGAAAAUUGUGUGUGUGUGUGUGUGUGUGUGUGUGUGUGUUUAUAUGUCUAUACCCUUUGCAAUCUCUAGGGAAUCUUAGGAUAAAAGGAUAAUUUCUCAGCCUCUCCUUUUUUUCUUUACCAAGGAAAACACUUCUUACAAAUCAACCCACCAAUAGGGUCUGUCAGAUGCUCACGUAGUAUAAUAGGAGCAGCACAGGAAAGUUUCUCUGAACCCCAAAGUAUCAUCCUUGCUGAUUAAUCCCUAAAACCUAAAUUCUGUCUUGGGGGCCAGAGAAAAUACAAAGACCCUGUAAAGCAAGCAUGCUAAGCUAUUGUCUUUCAAUCAUUCACAGUAGCACUCAUUAAUAGAAGGUCUUGGAUCAUUUCCAGAUGUCAGCCAGAUGAGCAGAAUUUCCUUGAGGCAGUUGGUAAACAAAAGAUUGCAGAGCACAGAGGGCUGGCCUGCAGUGCUGUGCUGGGGUGGGGGGAGAGGAGGGGAAGCAGAUUAUCAAGAGGGCACUGGGUAUCUGAAAAUCUGAGGAGUUGCAAUGAAAUUUUUGCCUUCCUUUAAAUUUUCCUUAGGGACAGGCUUGACUGUGAAUAUAAAGCUCGUUGUAUUACCUGUGCUGGCUGAAAACCCCAAACCAAACUUGUACUCCCAUUGGCUUGCAGCUCUACCCUGUGUUUUGUGGGGGCUGUGAAUCUGUUUCUUGGCUGACAGCAUUAAAGAAUGUUGAGAAAAUGAGAACUUUUUGCUUGGUACCACCUGAGAAAUGUUAUCCUGUUAAAUCUCCCUAAAUGAUGCUUAGGAGAGUUUUUAUACUAGCGAAAUGUCUUCCUUGUUUUCUAGAAGCAGACUGAGGAUGUUUAUUGGGAGAAUCCUGAAAACGAAAAUGCUCUUGCAUGACUGUGUGGCCCUGUGUACGAGGAUGCUUAGACGCCACUCAUCAUUAUACAGCUUAGGACAUGUGACUCAUUUUGCCUUCUAUUUUUACUGAUAGGUUCUUUCCUCAUAUAAGAUGCUGCUCCUGGGACAGUGGCAGGAACAGGGUUCUUGUCAAGUUGUUUCUGAGGGUGUGAUACCCACUGAAAGGCCCUUAAAGUGAAUUUUAUUGUGAUUGUCAGAGAGACUGACAGGGAGGAGAUGAAAGCUGACCGGCCUGUAAAGGACUUGAACCCAAUGCUGCACCCUCCUCUUUGGCUCCAGGCCGAAACCACACAAAUAACUAGGCAAGAAGCAUACAAGGAUGAUUCUAGGACAAGGUUGCUGG